rnacentral:tRNA from 1 species
GUGUAGCUUAGUGGUAGAGCAUUUGCCUGGCAUGCAAAAGGCCCUGAUUUGAAUCCUCAGCAC